CCAUUGCGCAGGUAUCUUCUGUGUGUAGCAGUUUUGGAUUUAAUCAGAGCGUGUGGUGUGCCUUUGUCAUUUACGAUGCUGUAGCUUCCCUUGUUGCUGCGUGGUUGUUAUAAUUGCGUUGUUUAAGGGAGUACUAAAGUAGGAUAUCGAUUCAAUUCUCUUCCUGUCGAUAUUUCGCGUGUAUGAAUAGAUUCGCAGCUAAACUGGAGUCUGGCUGAGAGUUUGUCCACUCGCUUGGUUGUUUAACAUAGGUUAUGGUAAACGAGGCUGUUGCUCUCGCUUAGCGGCUCCCAACCCGGUGCUCUCUGUAGUCAAGAAGUGCGUUUUCACCGCGGUUAAAAUAAGUUGCGAAAAGAGGCAAAGCUGUCCAGCUCAUCUGAACAACGAACAUGUGGAAUAUUUUGGCAUCACUCUUUGGUCUGUCCCAGAGGACCUGCGCGCCGAAGGAGAAGAAAGGUCAAAGGUGGCGAAGAGUUUUCCCUCAAGUCGUUGUGGUCAACGGAGCAGCCACCUUACUCGCGUUUUUCUCUAACUGCGGACCGUGUAUCUUCACUGCCUGCGAGGUCAAAGGUUACGCGCUGUGGGGUACAGCCGAAACCCUGUCAACCUGGUUCGUGAGAUGGUACUUCAUCUCGCUGGGACUCCUCAUCAUUUUCACAAUUCUCUCGUGCUGGUGCAAGAUCUGUGUGCUUCUGGAAGAUCAAGGGCGAUGCAACAGCGCAAGGGCACAGCUCCUCCUCAACACCCUGGUUGUCUGCUUCAACUACGCCGUAGGGUGGUUGCCGUACGUUCUGCUGGUGGGCAUAAGUGGCAGCCUGGAUGGAGGCUCCUUUGUGGAAGGCUUUGAAAGCGGUCUGACGGAUUUCCAUUGCCACCUUCACGAUGCGUCCGUCCGCGGGGCUUUGGUCGUCCUGGUCGCGUCCUCGGCCAUUUAUCUCCGCCACGCCUACUUUGGCCUGGGCGGACGGGUCCUAGGAGAUGGCUACAUGCUGAUGGGCGGUUUGAUUCUGCCGUGGUUCAUGGCCACAAUAACGAGGGUGUUCUUGGUGGGGCAAGAGUGGCGCCUUCCGACUAAGUCUCUGCUGAGGGAAGGAAGCAACGGGACUUUCACGAUGAGAGCAAACAUGAUAUUCUGCGAGACGAUCGUCAACAACGACUGGUUAAAUCACGUGAUGGCUGAGUGGCUGUUGACGUUGGUGAUGACUGGAUUGGUUGCAUUCUGGUUCCCGACUGUCAGACGACGUUCACAAGAUCAUUCAAAGCUCAUUCAAAGGCCCAUUGGACUUUUUGCUUCUGGUGAGUAUUACAUGGAGUCAGUGUCCGUCAUCGCUAUAAUGUGGUUCCUCACCAUCAGACCUCUCCUGGCGACCAGUAUAUUCCUUUCUUCAAACGAAAGCUGGUCCUCCUACCUUGACAUCCCUUCCCACGUCCUCAUCAUGAUGUCUGCGUCUCUCGUGCCCUUUGAGGUCGAGGACCGAUGGGCGAUGGCUGUGGAGGAGGAAUCUCCUGCAGAAGAAGAAGGGAAAGCGGGCAGAGUGACAUCUCUGCAUGGCGAGGAGGGAGCAAAGGCCUGGGAGGAGAAACAAGGGAGUGCUAUAGUGAACUCAGAUGAACAUUUUUGAAAAGUGAAAAACUGUUACGUGCCUCAUGGGGUGACAAAAUAUGUGGCAUGAAUACGCUUUCUUCAAAUAUGCUUUUUGAUAAUGUACGGCUGCGCACUCGCCGACUCUAAGGUCGAUCUCGCCUGGAC
rnacentral:misc_RNA from 1 species